CAUUUAACAGCAUGGAGAUCACCUUUCUCUUAGCAAGAGCUAUUAUGGUGGGGAUAAGAGCCUGAUUUAAGUUGGUUCAAGAGACCAAGGGAGGGUGGGACUGAAGACAGUAAGUAUACAUAAUCUCCUCUGAGCAGUUUUUCUGUGAAGGGGAGCAGAUGAAUAAGAUGGUAGUUAGGGUGGGGUGGUCAAGGUGAGUGUUUGUAAGACAAGAGAUAGCAGCACGAAUGUAGUGAAAUCCUCCAAUGGAUUGGGGGGAAAUGGUGAGGCAGGAGAGGGAGGGAAUUGUUGGGCCAGUGGCCUUUAUUUGUUGAGGUUGCAGGGGACGGACCCAGAGCAAACAGCAAGCAGCACCUGCUACGAAUUAAGGGGGCAGUGCAGUAAUUGGUGAUAUGUCUCACUGGACAAGACCACGAGACUGAGAAAGCAAGGUAUUUGUGGGCUUGUCCAAGUGGAUACUGAAAUCCCCAAGAGUUAAGGAAGGGUGGUGCUGGAGCCAGGGACAGGAGCCAAAACUGCAAGUACUUGAGCACGGCGAGGGGUGCUGGAAGGUAAACACGGACUCUGUAGGUUGAUGGCAAGAGCUUCAAAGCACUGGGUGUUUAGGAGGGACAGAUAAUGGUCUGGAAGUGGCAGUGAGGCACAAGCAGGCAUCCUACUACUGUUAAUGCUUUAUUACUCACAUUUUGACAGAGAUAACAGAAUAUAUUCCAAGGCAUGGCAGUGACUCACUCUAUGGGAAAACCUUGGCUUAGAACCCACCAGAUCACUUCUAGCUACUGCUCGGAACAGCUGUGCACAACAGCUGAAGGUUUUGUGUAUGCAGGAAAAAAAUACCGGCAAGUACCCAAAAGGUUCAGACCAGAAAAUACGUCAAGAAUAUUUUCUUUAUACCCUAACACAGUUAAGGUAGCACAUCUCCUAUCUUAAAGCAGUCAGCACAGACGCAGUGAUGCCUGUUCAAGCAGACUUCCAAGACAGCACACACCACUGACACAAAGAGCGCCUCCACAUUUCAAGAAUACAGCGACGCGAACUGGUACAAAUAAUAGUAAAGAAAAAAAAAUUUUUUUUUGACUUCAUGGAAUGGGAGGUCAGACUUGAGGCACUUCUUUGUCUGGCAGUGGACAAAACCAAAAGGGCUCUGACCUGAAUUUCCCAUCUCUUUCUAAUUUACCGCACAAGAGGGACCAGAGACACCAAUGACCAAUGAGUCACAAGAGCAGACAGAAAACUGUUAGUAGGUCUUGACAACCAGGAAUGAAGAUGCUUUUUAAAAAUGUGUACUUGAUGCCAAGUAUGUCCGAAAUGUAUCUUAGAAAGCAAUGCCAUUGUGUUAGAAAAGUGGGGUCCCUGUCCAGGUGGCCUUUCAUCUGGACCUUGAUCUCCACUGUUGAAUUAGCCCUAGGUCUUCUUGAAGCAUUUAAAAGUCAUCAAGAAAAAUGAUGACAUCUGUAUAAACAAAGCCAUUAAUUCUGUGUGGAACUUAGUGCCAGCCGUCUUCAUUCAUAUUGUGGGCACUGGCAAUGGUCGGGGUGUAACUGGCACGGGGAGGACUGUCACCAUUCGGACAGAGAUCCUAGAGGUCGUCUGUUUCUUAACCACCCCCCAGGAGCAGGAAUCCAAACUACAGUGCCCCUGACUGGCACCCUAGAAUGCCGGUCACCUGUCGGAACCCGGGCAAGACUAUGGCUUGGGCAGGCUCCGUGGAUUUUACAGUGUGAUGAUCAAUUUUGAGCAACAGGACUGAAAAGAUCUAGAGAAACUUACUUUGGGGGGAGGGCUCAGUUUCUCUCUGUAGAACAACAAGAAUACAAUGAGCCAAUUCCAGAAACAAAAUCCCCUCUGGUAAGAUCUAAAAACUAAACGCUGAAACUAGUUUCAAAAUUAAAGAAAUUUUUAUUAAGGUGCUAUUAAGAUGGAUGAAAAG
ensembl:lncRNA